GUUUCUGUAGUGCAGUGGUUAUCACAUUCACUUCACAUGUGAAAGGUCCCUGGUUCAAAACCAGGCAGGAACA